rnacentral:tRNA from 1 species
UACAUUUUAGUGUAAAAGCACAAAAAUUUUUGAAAUUUUUAGGGAUAGUUUAGAGCUAUUAAGUGUAA